rnacentral:tRNA from 1 species
UAUACUCUGGUGUAAGGGCACAUUAGAUUUUGAUUCUUAAGGGGAUAGAGCAACAACUAUCGAGUAUAA